UACAGAGGGCGCGAGCGUUAAUCGGAAUUACUGGGCGUAAAGCGCACGUAGGUGGCGACGUAAGUCGGGUGUGAAAGCGCCGGGCUCAACCUGGGAAUUGCAUUCGAGACUGCAUUGCUGGAGUACGGAAGAGGAGGGCGGAAUUCCCGGUGUAGCGGUGAAAUGCGUAGAUAUCGGGAGGAACAUCAGUGGCGAAGGCGGCCCUCUGGUCCAGUACUGACCAUCAAGUGCGAAAGCGUGGGGAGCAAACAGG
rnacentral:rRNA from 1 species